AACUCAAAUCCUAAAUCGUAUUAAAAUUCUAGAGUUCGUGUGUUCAGGUUCUUCCCUAGGAUGUUCGGUUGUUCGCGAUACCCUCCCCGUGCUCAUGAUGCCAGGCAUGUGCACUGACUUCCUGUGGCCUCCUUUCUCCGCGCAGAGAGCCUCAAUGCCGAGGUGGCCAAAGGUGAGAACCCUGAGGCUGUGGUAUCCCAGGAGCCCCAAGCCCAGCAGACGUUGCUGCAGUCCCCCAAUGCGGAGCCCCCUCAGGAGUGAGAACAAACGGUAAAGAACGACAAUACACACCCCUCCAACACGGAUCUACCCACCCUGCCCACAGCCCCAUCCGCAGACUAUACGUUCAUCUCUACUCCACCCUUCCACACCGACGACAUGCCCCUUUACAGUUUAACGAAAAACGCCGGACUGACCAUCUUCAUCUGUAGUCAACGCCUCCUACCUAAGGAUGCUCCUGGAAAUUUAGGAAGAGAUGCCCGUCUCCAUUGUGUUGUUUGGUCUUUAGAAGAUAAUCGAAGAACUACGACGCGUGCGAUAAAUUGCUGUUGUUGAACAUCCGGCUUAUUAGUGAGCUCAGAUUUGGAAGUGACCCUUGUAGGAGUCAUAACCAGAUCUGAUGUCACACUGCACAGCUGUCUGCUCACCCUCUGUAUGUACCAUUAUGAUAAGUGAGUGUUGCGAUUCACGUCCAUAAUUCUUCCACUACACCGACUGGGACAUUAUAUUUAUUGCCGUUUUUUUUUCUCUUUGGGGAAUGUGUAACUUUGUGUGUGUGUGUUUGUGAUGGGGGGGUCAUCUUUAGACCCCUGUUGAGCCAAGGUGGAGGGGUGGGGGAGGGGGGCUAAUAUUGCUGUUGCUGUUGUGUUAAAAGUCACUGUAACUUAUCAGUCUCUGCCGCUGUCCCCCCACCCCACGGUUAAAAUUCCAUGUCUGUGCCGCCGGGAAGUUCCAUGCUUUACUGCUGAAAUCAAUAAGAUUCGACUGUUGUGUGCGUUCGUUUGGAAAAAAAUGAGGGGGGGGAUUCUGAAAAUGUGACCGUUACAAUUGUAGCCCUUCUGAAGUGUUUUUACGAUCUAUUUUGUCGAGUUUAGUGGUCUUCAGUGCCGUAUCCCACCCGGAGCCGCCGAAACACACUGCUUUCUGCAUUCGCCGCUAUGGGCAGCGAUAGACCACAGACCCAUAUGAAACAGCAUCGCUGCAGAGCACUGGUCACUGUUGGAUGAUGUAGUCAUAACAAAUUACAUCCUUUUUAGACUUUGUACAGGUUAUCAUUUUGGACUACAUGUCAAGUGUGACAGUGGAAAUGAAGGAAUACACCUCUACCAGCAGACCAGUCUAUAGUGAUACUCUCGUCAGGCCAUCGCUGAAUGUCACGUUUUUUCUAUAGCUUUCUAUACCUACGUUAGUGAAGUGUGUGAAACCGUAGCAAUUAGGAUGUGAUAUUUUGUGCAUUGCCGUGUAGGCGUCGUCCCCCGAGAGGGAUACUGUGUGCGUAUAGUUGCAAAGCGCUUACUUUGUUUGUGGACGCGUAGCUCCCCACCCCUUUCGCUGUAGUCCGCGAGCGCUCGCUGUCCAAGUGCCCUUCUGCGCCGCUCUUCUCAUCCACACCCUCUUUUAUUUCCCAGUGAAGAGCCUGUAUUUAGGAGACCUCGGGCUUCCUGUGCGAAACCCGAAAGCUUAAUUUACAUCUAUACACAGCCGGCCUCGAAACCAAAGAUGUGGAAGGAAAGGGCUGUGCCAGCGUGAGCUCUUCUGCAUUGACAGUCUCUCUUCCGACGGUCUUCGCUGAGACGGGGUCUUGGAGCAGGUACCCGUUCGGGCACGUGGCGCGUUUCGUUGAAUGUUCCUCUACCAACAGCCUUCACGUAGGACACCUUGAACAGGUGUGGGUGGGGAACUCCAGCUUUGCCUGUGAGUGUUUUGCAAGACGGGGGGGGAAAAAAAAAAAAGCUGUGGACUGUGCAUGCUUACAGUAUAUAGUUUGUACAUAAGUAGGAGCAUAUUCACGUUACUCUUCGAACCCGGUUGACAAACCGAGCUUUGCGAUUUCAAGUAGACUUACAUUUUCAGCUCAGCUGUUCAGAUUUGUCUUCAGUGCAUGUUCUUUGCAGUCACGGUCACAUCGCCUUAUUGGAUGUAGCAGAAGGAGGAAGCAAGGGGGAAGAGGGGCCCAGUAGAGGAUGACAAGUGCUGUCCUGCCACUUGGUGCUCAAGUCAAUGCUUUAAGUCUUACCCUCACCUUACCCCCUUUUUCAGUAGCAACGCCUUCCUAGAUGUUCCUUCCAGUGCCUCUAAGCCCUAGAGUAGGGAGAUCUGACGUGACACGAAACGUUUUUUAAAGCUUAAACUUGCUGGCUUUUGAUCUGAACGUGUGAGCAAAGCGUAUGCGCGCGUUUCCUACACUACCGACCGCCGUUCCCAAUUCUUAAAUAUCCGUUGUCAACUUCACACGUGUACUGUACUGACUUGACAGUGGAAACAUUUCAACCCAAUAAAAUUACACAUUGAAAAAUCUUAAUUGUGGAC
rnacentral:lncRNA from 1 species